rnacentral:rRNA from 1 species
GACGAACGCUGGCGGCGCGCCUAACACAUGCAAGUCGAACGAGCGAGGGAGAGCUUGCUUUCUCAAGCGAGUGGCGAACGGGUGAGUAACGCGUGAGGAACCUGCCUCAAAGAGGGGGACAACAGUUGGAAACGACUGCUAAUACCGCAUAAGCCCACGACCCUGCCUCGGGUAGAGGGAAAAGGAGCAAUCCGCUUUGAGAUUGCCUCGCGUCCGAUUAGCUAGUUGGUGAGGUAACGGCCCACCAAGGCGACGAUCGGUAGCCGGACUGAGAGGAUGAACGGCCACAGUGGGACGGAGACACGGCCCAGACACCGACGAGAGGCAGCAGUGGGGAAUCUGCCGCAAUGGACGAAAGUCUGACGGAGCAACGCCGCGUGAGUGAUGACGGCCGUCGGGUUGGAAAGCUCGGGUAAUCGGGACGAAAGGCCUGCUUGCGAAUAGGGAGAAGGAUUGACGGUACCGGAAGAGAAAGCCACGGCUAACUACGUG